rnacentral:miRNA from 1 species
ACUUGAUGGUGUUUAUGACGUCGAAUAUCGACGUCAUAAACACCAAACUUGAUGGUGUUUAUGACGUCGAUAUUCGACGUCAUAAACACCA